AGGGGCUGGGCGAGGCCGCGCACCAGGCGAUCGGCCUGGGGGUCACGGCCGCGGUGUGCGCCGCCGUGCUGGUGUGG
rnacentral:tRNA from 1 species